UGGGGAAUAUUGGACAAUGGGGGAAACCCUGAUCCAGCGAUGCCGCGUGGGUGAAGAAGGCCUUCGGGUUGUAAAGCCCUUUAAGUUGGGAAGAAGUUGUGUGGGCGAAUACCCCAUAUGAUUGACGGUACCGACAGAAUAAGCGCCGGCAAACUCUGUGCCAGCAGCCGCGGUAAUACAGAGGGCGCGAGCGUUAAUCGGAUUAACUGGGCGUAAAGGGCGCGUAGGCGGUCAUGAGAGUGUGAUGUGAAAGCCCUGGGCUUAACCUAGGAAGUGCAUCGCAAACGCCAUGACUGGAGUAUUGGAGAGGGUAGCGGAAUUUCCGGUGUAGCGGUGAAAUGCGUAGAGAUCGGAAGGAACGUCAAUGGCGAAGGCAGCUACCUGGCCAAAUACUGACGCU
rnacentral:rRNA from 1 species